UGGAUGAAAAGCUGCAGGUACGCUUGAAGGAAAUGGACAUAGAAGCCAUGUUGAAGAUUAAGCAAAUGGAGCUGGAAGUGGAGGAGCGUUUAAGAUUAGUCGAGCUAAAUUUAAAGUACAAAUCGCAGCAGUAAUGUCACAUUCAUACAUAACGAUAGCAUUUAAAGCAUGGGAAGUCGAUUGCCAAAUCCUUUUUGAAAUCUACAACACUGAAGACCGAUUACAAAGCUUCCUCUUUCGCAAAACUGCAACCAACGAAUCGCUUCUCUGCUCCGACGAUCUUCAAUUUAAGCCAUGGCUAUGGAAUUAUUCUCGGAUCCAUAUGGUUUAGAACUGUCUUACUACCAACCAACUGCUGAGGAGAGAGCAAAUGAUCACCAGAUAAAAGUGUUGAACAUUAAUAACGAUUUGCAAAUUCUACUUAAGAAAAUGGAAAUUGAAGCCCAAAUAAAGAUGAAAACCAUGGAGCUUGAGUCAAAGGAACGCUGCAUGGAGAUGGUGUUGAAAUAUAAGAACACUGAUUCUCAGAAAAAUACAGCAAUGAAAUAAACCAUGUGCUUCUCAGAAA